rnacentral:rRNA from 1 species
AUUGAACGCUGGCGGCAGGCCUAACACAUGCAAGUCGAACGGUAACAGGAAGAAGCUUGCUUCUUUGCUGACGAGUGGCGGACGGGUGAGUAAUGUCUGGGAAACUGCCUGAUGGAGGGGGAUAACUACUGGAAACGGUAGCUAAUACCGCAUAACGUCGCAAGACCAAAGAGGGGGACCUUCGGGCCUCUUGCCAUCGGAUGUUCCCAGAUGGGAUUAGCUAGUAGGUGGGGUAACGGCUCACCUAGGCGACGAUCCCUAGCUGGUCUGAGAGGAUGACCAGCCACACUGGAACUGAGACACGGUCCAGACUCCUAUGGGAGGCAGCAGUGGGGAAUAUUGCACAAUGGGCGCAAGCCUGAUGCAGCCAUGCCGCGUGUAUGAAGAAGGCCUUCGGGUUGUAAAGUACUUUCAGCGGGGAGGAAGGGAGUAAAGUUAAUACCUUUGCUCAUUGACGUUACCCGCAGAAGAAGCACCGGCUAACUCCGUG